rnacentral:rRNA from 1 species
AGCGAACGCUGGCGGCAGGCCUAACACAUGCAAGUAGAACGAUCCUUCGGGAUAGUGGCGGGCGGGUGAGUAACACGUGGGAACGUGCCCUUUGGUUCGGAAUAACUCAGGGAAACUUGAGCUAAUACCGGAUGUGCCCUUCGGGGGAAGGAUUUAUCGCCAUUGGAGCGGCCCGCGUUGGAUUAGCUAGUUGGUGGGGGAAAGGCCCACCAAGGCUACGAUCCAUAGCUGGUCUGAGAGGAUGAUCAGCCACGCUGGGACUGAGACACGGCCCAGACUCCUACGGGAGGCAGCAGUGGGGAAUCUUGCGCAAUGGGCGAAAGCCUGACGCAGCCAUGCCGCGUGAAUUAUGAAGGUCUUAGGAUUGUAAAAUUCUUUCACCGGGGACGAUAAUGACGGUACCCGGAGAAGAAGCCCCGGCUAACUUCGUGCCAGCCGCCGCAGUAAAAC